UACGUAGGGUGCAAGCGUUGUCCGGAAUUAUUGGGCGUAAAGAGCUCGUAGGCGGUCUGUCGCGUCGGCUGUGAAAACUCGGGGCUCAACUCCGAGCUUGCAGUCGAUACGGGCAGGCUAGAGUUCGGCAGGGGAGACUGGAAUUCCUGGUGUAGCGGUGAAAUGCGCAGAUAUCAGGAGGAACACCGGUGGCGAAGGCGGGUCUCUGGGCCGAUACUGACGCUGAGGAGCGAAAAGCGUGGGGGAGCGAACAGG
rnacentral:rRNA from 1 species